ACAGCCCCAGGUCUGCGGGGACGGCAGCGGACGCUCGGACCCCGCACCGCGGGAGGGGGGCGCGGGGGGGUGGGGGGCGCGGGGAGGGCAGGGGGGCAUGGGGACAUGGGGACAUGGGGAUGAGGGACGUGAGAACAUUGGGAUAUGGGGACAUUGGGAUGAGGGGCAAGAGAACACUGGGAUAUGGGGACAAGGGACAUGGGGACAUUGGGACAUGGGGACACAGGGACACGAGGGCAUUGGGAUGAGGGGCAUGGACACAAGGGACAGGGGGACAGGAGAUGUGGGGACAUGGGGAUGAGGGACGUGAGAACAUACGGAUAUGGGGACAAGGGACGUGGGGAUGUGGGACAUGGGGACAUGGGGACACGGGGACACAGGGACACGGGGACAUGGGGACACAGGGACAGGAGAUGUGGGGACAUUGGGAUGAGAACACAAGAACAUUGGGAUAUGGGGACAAGGGACAUGCGGACACAGACAUGGGGGCAUUGGGAUGACGGGCAUGGACACAAGGGAUGUGGGGACACAGGGACAUGGGGACAUAGGACAUGAGAACAUGGGGACAAGAGGUGUGGGGACAUUGGGAUGAGGGAAAUGGACACAAGGGACAUGGGGACGAGGGACAUGGAGAUGUGGGGACACAGGGAUGAGGGGCAUGAGAACAUUGGGAUGCAGGGACAAGGGACAUGGGGACGUGUGCAUGCAGGGGACGAGAACACAGGGACAGGAUGGGGACACGGGGACAAGAGACACGGAAGCAGGUACGUGCAGGGGAUGGGGACAAGGGACACAAGUGUGCAAGGGACAGGGGGACAAGGGAGUGCGCGUGCGCAUGGGACAGGGACAUGGGGACAUGGGGACAUGGGGACACGGCAGCUCGUACAUGCAUGGAGGGGACACGGGGACAGGACAGGGACAGGAUGGGGACAUGGGGACAAAGUGUCCCCAUGCAAAGCAUCCCUGUGCCAAGUGUCCCCAUGCCAUUGUCCCCGUGCCACUGUCCCUGUGCAAAGCGUCCCCAUGCAAAGUGUCCCUGUGCUGGCAUCCCUGUGCCACUGUCCCCAUGGCAGUGUCCCCAUGCAACGUGUCCCUGUGUCACUGUCCCCAUGUCAUUGUCCCUGUCCCCAUGUCACCGUCCCCGUGCAACGUGUCCCCAUGCCAC
rnacentral:lncRNA from 1 species